GCGUAUAAAAAGAGUUGCUGUGAAGAAUUGGGGAAUAUUCCUGGGGAGAAAAUACACAGAGCGAGAUUUUUCCAAGACGACAUAAUUAUCCUUAACGCAGGUCUCAAGAUGAAGAGCGUUAUCCAGUUUCUGGCAGUUUUUGCUGCGGUUUCUUUCUGCGUCUGCUAUGACUCUCAUGAGAGCACAGAGUCAGAAGAAGGUGAUUAAAUGUUGUCUGUCUGUUCAUGGAAAAACAUGCAUGCAAAAAAUACUUCACCGCCUGCUCUACUGUAUAUCUUAGUU